UACUUAUUUUCAAGGGUAAAAUGAUAAUAUUAUUUUUUUAACCAAACCACAAGCUUUCCGUUUCCUUCCAGAUCUUUCCCGUUGUAUCUCUCUUUCCAUCUUCUUCCCCAAGCUCUGCAAUUAUGGAUCCAAACAACAAUAAGAGCAUUAAAUUCUCAGCCACAGAAUUUGAUGAGUUCUUUGCCAGAGAAAGAAGUUCUACCAUCUGUGGAUAAUGAAAUUGAAUCACCAAAAGAUGAGUCUCUGGAUGAGGGACCUACAAUGGUGUAUUUGGAAGGCAAAUUACAAGUAGAAACUCUUCGGAGUGAUUCCUUGAUGGUUUAACUUCAGGCAUCAGAGAAAACAAUCAAAAUCCUGGAAAAAGAAAUAAAAAAUCUCAGACAGUCAAAGGGGAUGAUGGAGGAUCAAAUUGAGAAAGAAAAGAUGAUGAAAGAAGACCUUGAGAUGCAAUUCAAAGCAGCUAAACUGGAACUGAAUGAAUCUUGUCUAAAGGCCUGCUCUUUAGAAAACAAACUCAACCAAAAUAAGUCCAAUAAGAAGCUCGAUUCUACAUGCAAUUUGCUUCACCUACAGCAAGAAAGCACAAAAAAAUGGAGUUACUGAAAAAUGCUGAGGUGGACCCUGAAGAAAAGCUUCUUCAAAGUGUAAGUUCCCAUUAGCUUUAGUUAAAUUACCUUAGGCCUUACAGAUCAAAUUUCUAGAUUCAUGUUUCUUCAUUAUUAGCAGAACA